rnacentral:tRNA from 1 species
GGGCCAGUGGUGGAAAUGGUAGACACAGCGGUCUCCAAAACCGUAGCCGUCGCAAGCAUGUGGGUUCGAAUCCCACCUGGCCCACCA